rnacentral:tRNA from 1 species
CUGGCGGAGAAGGAGGGAUUUGAACCCUCGCGCCGCGCGAGCGACCUACACCCUUAGCAGGGGCGCCUCUUCAGCCACUUGAGUACUUCCCC